AUUGAACGCUGGCGGCAUGCCUUACACAUGCAAGUCGAACGGUAACAGGUCUUCAGAUGCUGACGAGUGGCGAACGGGUGAGUAAUACAUCGGAACGUGCCUAGUAGUGGGGGAUAACUACUCGAAAGAGUGGCUAAUACCGCAUGAGAUCUACGGAUGAAGGCAGGGGAUCGCAAGACCUUGUGCUACUAGAGCGGCCGAUGGCAGAUUAGGUAGUUGGUGGGAUAAAAGCUUACCAAGCCGACGAUCUGUAGCUGGUCUGAGAGGACGAUCAGCCACACUGGGACUGAGACACGGCCCAGACUCCUACGGGAGGCAGCAGUGGGGAAUUUUGGACAAUGGGCGAAAGCCUGAUCCAGCAAUGCCGCGUGCAGGAUGAAGGCCUUCGGGUUGUAAACUGCUUUUGUACGGAACGAAAAGCCCCGGGUUAAUACCCUGGGGUCAUGACGGUACCGUAAGAAUAAGCACCGGCUAACUACGUGCCAGCAGCCGCAAUAC
rnacentral:rRNA from 1 species